rnacentral:rRNA from 1 species
AAAUUGAAGAGUUUGAUCAUGGCUCAGAUUGAACGCUGGCGCAGGCCUAACACAUGCAAGUCGAACGGUAGCACAGAGGAGCUUGCUCCUUGGGUGACGAGUGCGGACGGGUGAGUAAUGUCUGGGAAACUGCCCGAUGGAGGGGGAUAACUACUGGAAACGGUAGCUAAUUACCGCAUAAUGUCGCAAGACCAAAGAGGGGGACCUUCGGGCCUCUUGCCAUCGGAUGUUGCCCAGAUGGGAUUAGCUAGUAGGUGGGGUAACGGGCUCACCUAGGCGACGAUCCCUAGCUGGUCUGAGAGGAUGACCAGCCAACACAUGGAACUGAGACACGGUCCAGACUCCUACGGGAGGCAGCAGUGGGGAAUAUUGCACAAUGGGGCGCAAGCCUGAUGCAGCCAUGCCGCCGUGUAUGAAGAAGGCCUUCGGGUUGUAUAAGUACUUUCAGCGGGGAGGAAGGCGAUACGGUUAAUAACCGUGUCGUUUGACGUUACCCGCAGAAGAAGCACCGGCUAACUCCGUGCCAGCAGCCGCGGUAAUACGGAGGGUGCAAGCGUUAAUCGGAAUUACUGGGCGUAAAAGCGCACGGCAGGCGGUCUGUCAAGUCGGAUGUGAAAUCCCCGGGCUCAACCUGGGAACUGCAUCCGAAACUGGCAGGCUAGAGUCUUGUAGAGGGGGGUAGAAAUCCAGGUGUAGCGGUGAAAUGCGUAGAGAUCUGGAGAAUACCGGUGGCGAAGGCGGCCCCCUGGACCAAAGACUGACGCUCAGGGUGCGAAAGCGUGGGGAUGCAAACAGGAUUAGAUACCCUGGUAGUCCACGCCGUAAACGAUGUCCGACUUGGAGGUUGUUCCCUUGAGGAGUGGCUUCCGGAGCUAACGCGUUAAGUCGACCGCCGUGGGGAGUACGGCCGCAAGGUUAAAACUCAAAUGAAUUGACGGGGGCCCGCACAAGCGGUGGAGCAUUGUGGGUUUAAUUCGAUGCAACGCGAAGAACCUUACCUACUCUUGACAUCCACGAAUUUAGCAGAGAUGCUUUAGUGCCUUCGGGAACCGUGAGACAGGUGCUGCAUGGCUGUCGUCAGCUCGUGUUGUGAAAUGUUGGGUUAAGUCCCGCAACGAGCGCAACCCUUAUCCUUUGUUGCCAGCGGUUCGGCCGGGGAACUCAAAGGAGACUGCCAUUGAUAAACUGGAGGAAGGUGGGGAUGACGUCAAGUCAUCAUGGCCCUUACGAGUAGGGCUACACACGUGGCUACAAUGGCAUAUACAAAGAGAAGCGACCUCGCGAGAGCAAGCGGACCUCAUAAAGUAUGUCGUAGUCCCGGAUCGAGGAGUCUGCAACUCGACUCCGUGAAGUCGGAAUCGCUAGUAAUCGUGGAUCAGAAUGCCACGGUGAAUACGUUCCCGUGGCCCUUGUACACACCGCCCGUCACACCAUGGGAGUGGUUGCAAAAGAAGUAGGUAGCUUAACCUUCGGGAGGGCGCUUACCACUUUGUGAUUCAUGACUGGGGUGAAGUCGUAACAAGGUAACCGUAGGGGAACCUGCGGUUGGAUCACCUCCUUA